AGAGUUUGAUCAUGGCUCAGAUUGAACGCUGGCGGUAUGCUUAACACAUGCAAGUCGAACGGGUAACAGGCCUUCGGGCGCUGACGAGUGGCGGACGGGUGAGUAACGCGUAGGAAUCUGCCUCAUAGUGGGGACAACGUGGGGAAACUCGCGCUAAUACCGCAUACGCCCUACGGGGGAAAGCGGGGGAUCUUCGGACCUCGCGCUAUGAGAUGAGCCUGCGUUAGAUUAGCUAGUUGGUAGGGUAAAGGCCUACCAAGGCGACGAUCUAUAGCUGGUCUGAGAGGACGAUCCCCCAGCCACACUGGGACUGAGACACGGCCCAGACUCCUACGGGAGGCAGCAGUGGGGAAUAUUGGACAAUGGGCGCAAGCCUGAUCCAGCAAUACCGCGUGUGUGAAGAAGGCCUUAGGGUUGUAAAGCACUUUCAAUUGGGAGGAAAACCUGCCGGUCAAUACCCGGCAGCUUGAUAUUACCUUUAGAAGAAGCACCGGCUAACUCCGUG
rnacentral:rRNA from 1 species